AGCAAAAUAACGCACCUGAAUAUAUAUAUUUUUUUUUUCGUUAACACAAUUUCAAUCAUAAUAACCUAUACGUAUUUUUUUACACUCAUAAUUACAACAACAGCUUGGCCAUCCGAAAUUGCGCCCUCUAGCGUAUACAAUCAGCAAGAGAAAAGGAAUUUGUUUUAUUCCGAGCGAUUUUCUUUUUUCAUCUUUGCUGCAGACGCCGCUCAUUUAUUAAUUCCAAUCCAUUUGUGUUCUCUGAUUUACGGCACGACCACCCCCCACCAUCUCCACGACCACCCCACCCAUAAAUUGUGUAAUAAAUGAAGCUGUUGAAGGAUAUUGGUUAGCCUUCGACGACCCUUCGACUAUCGGAAUACUUGUGUGUGUGUGCAAGGACACACACACGCAUUUGUAUGUGCAGAUUUUUGGAGCAUAAAUAUGAACGGAGAGUGAAAGCUGCUUUGCAUUAAUAAAUGAAAUAUACCAAGAUUUCUGCUUGGAGUGCUCGCAAAAUCUUUAGUUCCAUCUAAAGUUCAUCUUAAGGAUAGAUUUCUCAAAAAAAUGGCCACCCUAGAUAAUUAUUUUUAUAAAAUCAAUUCCAAAUAUCCUGGCAUACAAAAUGAAUUACUUGAGAUUUUUCGAUUGGAACAAAGUUUUACACCUGAGCGUUCAAUAACCUUAGUUCAGAUACGUGCUGAUUAUAAUGAAUUGACUGGCAAUCGUUUUCCUGUAAAAGGUGGCACUCGUAUUGAAAUGUCUUUUAUUUUAACUAUACCAUUUGUUUGCUGUUAUUCCAAUGAGAUUGGUACAUUAUGUUUUUACUUAAUGAAUGCAACCGAAUCCGAUAAACAACAAUAUCUACAAUGAUCCAAGAUAAGAAGAUGCAAGAGUUGAGGUCAAGUGCAACGUAAAUUUAAAUGAAAUUUUAGUCAAAAGUGUGCAAAUCGAAUUAGUUAAGACAAUUUAUAUAUUUUAAAUGUACAUUUAAUUCUGGAUUAUAUUUGCUUAGAUAAAAAAAAUUGAGUAUACCUAUUCUAUAAAAUAAA